AACAAACAUUUUAUUGUUUAAUAAGCACAACAGAUUAAAGAACUAUUCCAAGCUGCCGAAGAUGAGAACUAAAGCUUUGCUAUUGUUGACUGUGCUGCUAGUGUCUAUGGUCAUCGCAGCAAAUGCGGAAAACGAUUUUGACAAAAUCAAAUCAUUCCUUUCUCGAAGACAUUCUGGUAAACGCUGUACAAUGUGUGUUUGUCCGUCCGGCUACCCGGUCUCUGUAUCUUUGAAAUAUAUUACAGGUA
rnacentral:lncRNA from 1 species